rnacentral:rRNA from 1 species
AGAGGUCCCGCCUGGCCCUGUGACUAUAUGUUUAACGGCCGCGGUAUUUUGACCGUGCGAAGGUAGCGCAAUCACUUGUCUUUUAAAUGGGGACCUGUAUGAAUGGCAUAACGAGGGCUUAACUGUCUCCUCUUUCAAGUCAAUGAAAUUGAUCUCCCCGUGCAGAAGCGAGGAUAGAUACAUAAGACGAGAAGACCCUAUGGAGCUUUAGACACUAAAGCAGAUCAGUAUUAAUACCCUGAACAUAGGCUACGAAUAAACUGACCCCUGCCCUAAUGUCUUUGGUUGGGGCGACCGCGGAGAAAAAUAAAACCCCCGCAAGGACUAAAUGUACUACAUUCACAAACAAGAGCGACAGCUCUAACUAACAGAACUUCUGACCAAUAAGAUCCGGCAAUGCCGAUCAAUGAACCGAGUUACCCUAGGGAUAACAGCGCAAUCUCCUCUUAGAGCCCAUAUCGACGA